AGUGAACGCUGGCGGCGUGCCUAAUACAUGCAAGUCGAACGGAGUGGCGCACGGGUGAGUAAUGUAUAGCUCAUCUGCCCUACACUAGAGGACAACAGUUGGAAACGGCUGCUAAUACUCUAUAGUGUAGGAUGAGGCUAUAUUGUAUCAGCUAGUUGGUGAGGUAAUGGCUCACCAAGGCUAUGACGCAUAACUGGUCUGAGAGGAUGAUCAGUCACACGUGAACUGAGACACGGUACAGACUCCUACGGGAGGAAGCAGUAGGGAAGAUUGCACAAUGGGGGAAAGCCUGAAGAAGCAACGCCGGGUGGAGGAUGACGCUGUUCGGAGCGUAAACUACUUUUGUUAGGGAAGCGGUACCUAACGAAUAAGCACCGGCUAACUCCGUGCCAGCAGCCGCGGUAAUUC
rnacentral:rRNA from 1 species